rnacentral:rRNA from 1 species
UGGGGAAUAUUGCACAAUGGGCGCAAGCCUGAUGCAGCCAUGCCGCGUGUAUGAAGAAGGCCUUCGGGUUGUAAAGUACUUUCAGCGAGGAGGAAGGCGGUAAGGUUAAUAACCUUAUCGAUUGACGUUACUCGCAGAAGAAGCACCGGCUAACUCCGUGCCAGCAGCCGCGGUAAUACGGAGGGUGCAAGCGUUAAUCGGAAUUACUGGGCGUAAAGCGCACGCAGUCGGUCUGUCAAGUCGGAUGUGAAAUCCCCGGGCUCAACCUGGGAACUGCAUUCGAAACUGGCAGGCUAGAGUCUUGUAGAGGGGGGUAGAAUUCCAGGUGUAGCGGUGAAAUGCGUAGAGAUCUGGAGGAAUACCGGUGGCGAAGGCGGCCCCCUGGACAAAGACUGACGCUCAGGUGCGAAAGCGUGGGGAGCAAACA